UCAAAGUCAAUAUUCAGACCACUAGGGUUCAAUGUUUUUGAAUUGGAACAUGAACAGGUUUAGUCUACACUCAGGUGGAACAACGGAUAUGGAAUGCAUUUGUCAACAACGGUUGUGACAAUGAAUGCAUAUCACAACGGUCGAGAAGUGAGUACACACUUUUAAUGUAGCCUACAUCCGUUAUUAAACUCGAGUGAUGACUAAGCCCUAGAGGUUGUGAAACUUCAGAUGAUUAAGCCUAUGUCAAUUAAGAUCUGAAUGUUUUAUAUCAUUUUUACUGUACACUGUUGAUAGUACUUGAUGCCAAAGCUAAUCACUGAAUAUCCUACUUCAAGGACUCGUUCAGGUUGACAAACUUCUAUGUCAUAUGAACACACACACCAGGGCUUGUCAGCGCGAGUACACUUAGCAGUCGGGAAAAGCUCAUAUUGUGCAUUUCGUGACUGAAUGCAACAAAAAAGAAACAACACGGUGACAUGAUCACUCUCCGCCUCUCAAUCACACACUCACAUAGUUUAGCUUUAUGAUUAUUCUAGUUUAAGGUAAUUGGGCCUCUAUUUCAGGAGAGGAACGACAUGCAUGACCUUCUGGAUCUCCUCUCUGCUGAGACCAAUCCGGCCGCAGCAGCGAAGGCCCAGCUCUAACAGUGGUCCUCCCUACAGGCUGUCCUGUUCUGCUCUCCUUUGCACCAGAUCCUGCCACAACAAAAGAGGAUUGCUCUGAAGAGUACCUGAUGGUUACAGAUCUGCCAAGCACACCACCAUUGCCCUUGACAGCUUCUCCACUGGGCCCAUCAAGAGAUGAGGUUGAGUCUUCAUCUUGUACCAUGGCCGAUGGACAGAGCCCAUUAGAGCUGCCAGUGAUGGGCUAUUGGCCAAGCACCAUGGGGAGGAAGCUAUCCUGAAGCGGGUGAAUCUGCACUGCUCUUAACACCAGCCCAGAGAAGCUCCUAGAGACACACAGCUGUGGCAUUAUGUUACUGCAGAGAGUGAAACGCUCAGUGUCCCAGUCAUGUCCCCUGCCACCUGCACUUACCCAGCAGAAGGCCUCACCAAUUCAACAAUGCCAUUUGAGGAUUUUGCUUCUGCUGGCUUCUUUUAAUGGGAGCUGGAGGCCUCAAAGCAGAGGGGGGCAGUGAGGAAGGAGCGAACAGAGGAAAGAGGAAAGAGAAAAUCCUCAGAGCAGCAUCCCUCCAGCCGUCUGUACAGGUUCUGCCACCAGCCGCUGAAACAAGACCCCAACAGCCCAUAUCAGCUUUCCUUGAGUGGCAGGAAAAUAUCUAGUGCCUAGUGUUUUCCCUGUACCUUGCACAGAGUAUUGGAGGGAGCUUUUAUGAGACUGAAAAGAAGAGAUGGGUGGUGGAGAAGGGGGAGUGACUCUAUACACACACACACACACACAGAAAUAAAUAGGAGCUGAAAAUCUAUUGUCGUGGAAAUUACCACCAGGGAUUCAAAGUCAAACUUAAAUGAAUCAUUCUUUAUUGUCAGUUAACUGAAGAGGUUCCAACAAACUUAAUGCACCAUAGUACACGUCGGUCGGAAGCUCUGUCCCUCAAUUGUCCGCGGAUUAUGUGUCUCGCAGUAAGGGUCUGGGUGGGUCCUCCUUGUCUUUUGGUCAGACGGGAAUUUCCCUCACGCUUCAUAAAAUGCCCCAACGAUUUUCCUUGCAGACCCUCACUGGAAAGCUCCCCAGGCAGAAUCAAUCAUCCUUUUCAUGACGCCAAAUUGUCAAGGAAAUGACCACCAGGGACUCAAAGUCAAACUUAAAUGAAUCAUUCUUUAUUGUCAGUUAACUGGAGAGGUUCCAACAAACUUAAUGCAUCAUAGUACACAUCGGUCGGGAGCUCUCCCGGGGCAGUCCUGUUAGUUCUCUUAUAUACUGCUUACACAGACAAGUUAUAUUUGGAUGAUUUACAUGAUUCAUUAUUCAUGAUUAAUUCAUUUGGUUAUUGCUUAAACUAUCAAAGGAGGUUCUAUCAAAAUAUGUCAUUAUAAGUAAGCAAAAUCAACACAUAAAACCAGACACUUCAUCCUUUCAAACCCUUCAUUCUGGGUUGUACAAUCCAACUUGUAAAACCAUUGCAGUAGAAUGUUUUAACUUAAGACCUUCGCUUCAUACAGUUACACAUAUGCUUCAUUACACAACACUGUUUUCAUUGAUGGAAGUGGUUUGGACUCUCGUUUGAUUGGUAUCUCUUUCACAGGUACUGUCCAUUCUUUUACAUUACUGUACAUACAUUACUAUAUUUCACUGUAUAUAUUAUUGUUCAUUGCUAUUUUUUGUAAAUGUUGCACAAAGACCAACAUUUUAUUCUAAUUGCGGUGAAUAUGUCCUGUAUUACAAAUCAAUUGCUAUAGUUAGUGUGUGAAUAAGUUUGUUGUACAAAGGAUUAUACACUAUUAUACAAAUGGCUGUGAUUUCAUUAAAGUAAACACCAAGGUAAAGUAAUCUUCUCUGAGUUGCUUUGAUGUUGACUUUAUUAAUAAGAUACAUGCAUUUCGAUUGUGCUCCAACACUAUCAUAAAUAUGCCUUUGAUUUCAUUAAAUUAAACCUCAACUUAAA